CAAAGGCUCCUCCCACCUGCCCUCUCUAAGUGGGGAAGCAGAGCUCUUCCUAAGAGGGCCCUACAUCAGGCAGACUAAUGAAUGGCCAGAAGGAGAGCAGAGCUUGGACAAAUGGAAAAUGAACCCCAACAGCUGAGACAGCCAAGGCCCAAGUGUGCAGGCUGCAGGAAGAAGUACCCCGAGAUGAGCAGCCUUAUGGGCUCACGUGUAUUCAUCCAGGACAUGUAAUUGCCAGAGAGGCUGACAAGCUGAGAGCCACCCCAGCUGUCCCAUUUACUCACCUAGUAAUUUGACGGUUCAUUAACUCAUCCAACAAAUAGCUACUUAGUGCUGACCGGUCUACUGGGGAUAAGAAGGACAAUAGAAGUUUCCAGACACUUCACAGUGGUGUGGGGCCCAGGGUGUCACCUUGGAAUCACAGAGGGUAGCUUCCCUCAGAAAAGGACUCCCAGUUUUCACAAUUCCUGAUCAAAUCCAGCUUCUGUGACAUUGCUCCUGAGAAACAGAACGAGAGAACAGCAGAAAACACAUGGGCUGGUUAUCCAGGAAAGCUUGUGCUCUCUCCGCAGUGCCUCAUUUAUUGGAUUAUGCGUAAGACCAGGCUGAGCUAUCAGGAUAGAUUUCUCUUGGAGAUGUAGAAUGGACCCUCGUAGUGGUGAUGUUCCAAAACAUUAACUGAUUUGAUCACGUCACUCCUCAAUAAUCGUCAGUGGUCCCAAGUGACCUACUAAAUAAAGUCCAGAUUUUGUA